rnacentral:rRNA from 1 species
CCUACGGGUGGCAGCAGUCGAGAAUUAUUCACAAUGGGGGAAACCCUGAUGGUGCGACGCCGCGUGGGGGAAUGAAGGUCUUCGGAUUGUAAACCCCUGUCAUGUGGGAGCAAAUUAAAAAGAUAGUACCACAAGAGGAAGAGACGGCUAACUCUGUGCCAGCAGCCGCGGGAAUACAGAGGUCUCAAGCGUUGUUCGGAAUCACUGGGCGUAAAGCGUGCGUAGGCGGUUUCGUAAGUCGUGUGUGAAAGGCGCGGGCUCAACCCGCGGACGGCACAUGAUACUGCGAGACUAGAGUAAUGGAGGGGGAACCGGAAUUCUCGGUGUAGCAGUGAAAUGCGUAGAUAUCGAGAGGAACACUCGUGGCGAAGGCGGGUUCCUGGACAUUAACUGACGCUGAGGCACGAAGGCCAGGGGAGCGAAAGGGAUUAGAUACCCCUGUAGUC